UAAUACCCUAUAGAUUACAGAUGCUGGAAUGCCCUGUAAUCAAAAGUUCCGACGCUUUAGGAUGGAUCUGCGGCCGAUUAGUUUGUUGUUGGGGUAAUGGCCCAACAAGCCAGUAAUCGGUACGGGUUGUGGGAGCAAGAGCCCGGAGUUGGAUUCUGAGACACGAAUCCAGGCCCUACGGGGCGCAGCAGGCGCGAAAACUGUACAAUGCGGGCAACCGUGAUAAGGGAACCUCGAGUGCCUGUAUACGCAGGCUGUCCAAGUGCCUAAAACACACCUGAAGAAAGGGCCGGGCAAGACCGGUGCCAGCCGCCGCGGUAAUACCGGCGGCUCGAGUGGUGGCCGCUUUUAUUGGGCUUAAAGCGUUCGUAGCUGGUUUGUUAAGUCUCUUGGGAAAUCUGGCGGCUUAACCGUCAGGCGUCUAAGGGAUACUGGCAAUCUUGGAACCGGGAGAGGUGAGGGGUACUUCGGGGGUAGGAGUGAAAUCCUGUAAUCCUCGAGGGACCACCUGUGGCGAAGGCGCCUCACCAGAACGGCUUCGACAGUGAGGGACGAAAGCUGGGGGAGCAAACCGGAUUAGAUACCCGGGUAGUCCCAGCCGUAAACUAUGCGCGUUAGGUGUAU
rnacentral:rRNA from 1 species